UUCAUGGGGAAGAAUUUAAUAUUGCUAAUAUCGAUAUUGAUUGACGUUACCCAUACAAGAAGCACCGGCUAACUCCGUGCCAGCAGCCGCGGUAAUACGGAGGGUGCAAGCGUUAAUCGGAAUUACUGGGCGUAAAGAGUACGUAGGUGGCUUUUUAAGUCAGGUGUGAAAUCCCUGAGCUUAACUUAGGAACUGCAUUUGAAACUGAUAAGCUAGAGUUUCGUAGAGGGGGGUAGAAUUCCAGGUGUAGCGGUGAAAUGCGUAGAUAUCUGGAGGAAUACCAGUGGCGAAGGCGGCCCCCUGGACGAAGACUGACACUGAGGUACGAAAGCAUGGGGAGCAAACAGGAUUAGAUACCCUGGUAGUCCAUGCCGUAAACGAUGUCGAUUUGAAGGUUGUAAUCUUUGAGUUAUAGCUUUCGGAGCUAACGCGUUAAAUCGACCGCCUGGGGAGUACGACCGCAAGGUUAAAACUCAAAUGAAUUGACGGGGGCCCGCACAAGCGGUGGAGCAUGUGGUUUAAUUCGAUGCAACACGAAGAACCUUACCUACUCUUGACAUCCAAAGAACUGUGUAGAGAUAUACGGGUGCCUUAGGGAGCUUUGAGACAGGUGCUGCAUGGCUGUCGUCAGCUCGUGUUGUGAAAUGUUGGGUUAAGUCCCGCAACGAGCGCAACCCUUAUCCUUUGUUGCCAACGAGUUAAGUCGGGAACUCAAAGGAGACUGCCGGUGAUAAACUGGAGGAAGGUGAGG
rnacentral:rRNA from 1 species